AGUGAACGCUGGCGGUAGGCCUAACACAUGCAAGUCGAACGGCAGCACAGGAGAGCUUGCUCUCUGGGUGGUGAGUGGCGGACGGGUGAGGAAUACAUCGGAAUCUACUUUUUCGUGGGGGAUAACGUAGGGAAACUUACGCUAAUACCGCAUACGACCUACGGGUGAAAGCAGGGGAUCUUCGGACCUUGCGCGAUUGAAUGAGCCGAUGUCGGAUUAGCUAGUUGGCGGGGUAAAGGCCCACCAAGGCGACGAUCCGUAGCUGGUCUGAGCGGAGGAUCAGCCACAAUGGAACUGAGACACGGUCCAGACUCCGACGGGAGGCAGCAGUGGGGAAUAUUGGACAAUGGGCGCAAGCCUGAUCCAGCCAUACCGCGUGGGUGAAGAAGGCCGUCGGGUUGUAAAGCCCUUUUGUUGGGAAAGAAAUCCAGCUGGUUAAUACCCGGUUGGGAUGACGGUACCCAAAGAAUAAGCACCGGCUAACUUCGUGCCAGCCGCCGCCGUAA
rnacentral:rRNA from 1 species